UGGGUUCUUACACCAAGAUUAAUAGGGAAUCCUGUGAAAUUCAGGAGCUAUGCCCGUAGCUGUAAGUUCCAAACGGGUUUGUGGCACCUAAGUCACUGAUAUUCGUAUCGGGAAGACGCCGCAGACUGGAACGAGCCAGAAGACCUGCCCAAUU
rnacentral:ncRNA from 1 species